rnacentral:lncRNA from 1 species
UUCCAAGAAAAAUAUAACCACAUAACAACUCUUAGUUUGGAACAACUUCUACAUUGAGAACACUCACAUUUGAAACAAGUUAGAAUAAUUCUUUUUCAAGAACAACUCUCGUCUUUGUCUUGCAUUCCAAGAGAUGUUCUUUGGAAGAUCUUUCACAUAGUGCUACUUCACCAAAGUGGAAGUAACCCUAAAAUAUGGUAGAGAUAUUGGAUUAAUGUCUUCACUCUUGGGAUGUUCCGGAAAGUUUAGCUUGGUGGAUCAAAUAUGGAGGUAGCUAAAAGGUUUCCUCUUGACUUUUUCCUGUAACACCGUGCUUCUCCCUUCUUCCAGAAAUAAUCAACAUCACCAACAAAACCCUUUUAUUAAUAAAAGAACCAUCAAUAUCUUUGUAACUGAAAAAAAUAUCAUUCAUUACUCCUAUUAACUCUCAUUCUUGAGACACUAUAAAUAAGAACCUUUCACAACUGAUGAGAAGACUUUUGGCAUUUUGGACUCACAAAGUACUCUCUCUAAAGUUCUUAUAUCCAC